UGAGGAAUCUUGCGCAAUGGGGGAAACCCUGACGCAGCAACGCCGCGUGAGUGAGGAAGGCCUUCGGGUCGUAAAGCUCUGUCAGAUGGGAAGAAAUGGGUGGGGGCUAAUAUCGUCCAUCCUUGACGGUACCAUCAGAGGAAGCACCGGCUAACUCCGUGCCAGCAGCCGCGGUAAUACGGGGGGUGCAAGCGUUGUUCGGAAUCAUUGGGCGUAAAGCGCGCGCAGGCGGCUUGGUAAGUCAGAUGUGAAAUCCCUGGGCUUAACCCAGGAAGUGCAUUUGAUACUGCCUCGCUAGAGUACGGGAGAGGAAAGUGGAAUUCCUGGUGUAGAGGUGAAAUUCGUAGAUAUCAGGAGGAACACCGGUGGCGAAGGCGACUUUCUGGCCCGAUACUGACGCUCAGGCGCGAAAGCGUGGGGAGCAAACAG
rnacentral:rRNA from 1 species